AUACGAAUGGUGCAAGCGUUGUUCGGAAUCACUGGGCAUAAAGAGCACGUAGGUGGUGAUGUAAGUCAGUUGUGAAAUCCCUCGGCUCAACCGAGGAACUGCAAUUGAAACUACAUCGCUAGAGUACGGGAGGGGAGAGUGGAAUUCCAGGUGGAGCGGUGAAAUGCUUAGAUAUCUGGAGGAACGCCGGAGGCGAAAGCGACUCUCUGGUCCGUUACUGACACUGAGGUGCGAAAGCUAGGGGAGCAAACAGGAUUAGAAACCCCGGUAGUCC
rnacentral:rRNA from 1 species